rnacentral:sRNA from 1 species
CAUUUCAUCGAACACCAUUUGGGCGCGGAAAUGUCUGGGUUCAAAUUCCAGUUGAUCAGAAAGCAAUAGGCAUUAAGAACAACUAAUCCAGAAGGGAUCUAUAAAUCAAACUCAACCACCUAGCAUACUGAGAAUUCUAAACUACUAUAACCCAUCCUCAUAAACCUAUUCACUACUCAGACAUCAUAGGAGAAAACAUAAACGUUGAAUAGAAUGAAAACAUGAUAACAACAGAGUAAUAGCACAAGAU